GGCGCUAUAGUGUAGUGGUUAUCACAACGGAUUCUGAUGAACAAUCGGCUUUCCGUUAACCCCAGUUCGAGUCUGGGUAGUGCCU